AUACGAAGGGGGCUAGCGUUGUUCGGAAUCACUGGGCGUAAAGUGCGCGUAGGUGGAUCAAUUAGUUGAGGGUGAAAUCCCGGGGCUCAACCUCGGAACUGCCUUCAAUACUGUUGAUCUUGAGACCGAGAGAGGUGAGUGGAAUUCCUAGUGUAGAGGUGAAAUUCGUAGAUAUUAGGAAGAACACCAGUGGCGAAGGCGGCUCACUGGCUCGGUACUGACGCUGAGGUGCGAAAGCGUGGGGAGCAAACAGGAUUAGAAACCCCAGUAGUCC
rnacentral:rRNA from 1 species